UGCAAUUCUAUUUUUUGACGGUUACUUCAUUUAUUUUUCAUUUCAUUUUGGAUUUUAUGCUUCGUUUCUCAUUUUUGCUCUACUUUUUUCUUUUUCUUUAUGUGGUUGUUUCUACUUUUUGUAAGUUGUAACGUGGCUGUAGCACAGAAUCAGAGAUGCAUUAUUUUUAAUUUCUUAGAUUUGUUUGAUAUAAUUUUUUUUUUCUAGUGAGAAAUCAUCUGGCGCUUAUCUUGAGUUGAAAUCACUUUUUUUUAUUAGCCUUGGUUGGUUUUGCUUUUGUGUUUUCUCACUUUAGAAGAUUUUAAGAGGUAGUAGUUUGUAGAUCUGUGUUUGUAAGCUAUAAAUUUAAUUGAUUCUAAACAUUUUUCCUAAAAGUAAAUGAUCAGCUGUGGAAUCACCGCGCGAGAGACUCUGCUACGAAAUCAUCUUUAAAACAAAAAUUAUUUUCCAAUUAUUUUUCCAAACAGAGUAAAAGAAUCAAUUAGUAGAAUUCUUCUUUUCUUUCCUUUUUCUUUGGCAGUUUUCUUUUGGGAUUUUGAGAGUUUUACGUUGAAUUGUUUUGUUAUUGUUAAAUUUGACGAUACUCUGCUGCUAAAGUGCUAAGAAAACCUUCAGUUUUUAAAGCAGAAAAGCUCCAUGUCAAAUGCAAAACUUAGGCAGUUUUCUGAAAUCGAAACGGCUUUUACCUAAUAUGUGGUGACAAUUUUGUUUUCGCUGCAUGGUUAUACAAGCAUUUGAUUGGUUAAGUUAUAUAAUUGAUAACACGAGAGAAAAAUCAAAGAAGAAAUGCAACAAAUCAAUGAAAUUUCUACAAUAAUUAUUUAUUAUUGCUGUUUAAAUCUUAUUCAAGUCCUCUAACUCUCACUGUGCUCCACAUCCUCCUUUGAAUGAAAGGAUCCUUUCGUCAAUGACCAGGAGGUCCGUCGCUGCUCACCCAUGGCAUGAUCUUGAAAUUAGACUUGGAGCUCCUACGGUUUUUAACUGCACUACAUUUAGCAGCAUGGGCCAGGCAAGCACAUGUAGUGAGUUAUCUUUGCAAGCAAAAGGCUGAUGUUGGUGCUGUUGCCAUGGAUGGCAUGGGUGCGAUUCAUUUUGCGACACAAAAAGGACAUCUAGAGGUUGUCUGAACUUUUCUUUCAUCAGGAGUUUCAGUGAGAGCCACUAAUCGCAAGGGAUUCACUCCACUUCACUAUGCUGUUCAAGGGUCCCAUCUAGAAGUAAUCAAAGUCUUAUUAAAGAAAGGUGCAAGUGGCUAGAAAUUUAAUAGCAGAUGGUGAAUCAGUUAAUGCAACGCUAGCAGUUGGAGUAGUGUUUUAUGAUUAGAUUAUUUAGCCUAAGUUUUGGUUUUUGUGUGUUUUGAUUUAAACCCAGCAAGCUUCCUGGCAGAAGACAUUGCCAUUUUUUUAGUUGUAACUGGCUAGCAAUUUGAUAGCAGAUGCACUUAAGUAGUUACGCCAAACAAAGUCUAUAACAAUUUACUAAGGAUUUGGUAUAUGUCUUGUCUUUUGUUCAA